rnacentral:rRNA from 1 species
GACGAACGCUGGCGGCGUGCUUAACACAUGCAAGUCGAACGGAAAGGCCCCUUUGGGGGUACUCGAGUGGCGAACGGGUGAGUAACACGUGAGUAACCUGCCCUUGACUUCGUGAUAACUUCAGGAAACUGGGGCUAAUACCGGCUAGGAAUCCUUGCUGCAUGGUGGGGGUUGGAAAGCUUCGGCGGUUUUGGAUGGACUCACGGCUUAUCAGCUUGUUGGUGGGGUAGUGGCUUACCAAGGCUUUGACGGGUAGCCGGCCUGAGAGGGCGACCGGCCACAUUGGGACUGAGAUACGGCCCAGACUCCUACGGGAGGCAGCAGUGGGGAAGAUUGCACAAUGGGCGGAAGCCUGAUGCAGCAACGCCGCGUGCGGGAUGACGGCCUUCGGGUUGUAAACCGCUUUCAGCAGGGGCGAAGCUUGUGGUGACGGUACCUGCAGAAGAAGCACCGGCUAACUACGUG